AAGACGGAGCGUCUGCACCUCUAAAGAUUCUCAGAGUCGUGCGCUGACCGUCCAGGCUGAACACCGAGGGGCCCACCUGCUCAGGAUAUGGUGCUUUGAGGUAAUAACGUAUCCGUUUUCAUUUCCAAAAAAGAUGAGCUGUCAUCCGCUGACAGGGCGAGGACUCGACCGAUUCCAGCAAGCACCCAUAAAAACCGAGGGGACACGUGACGCCUCUCCAUCCCCUUCAUACCACAAAAUGGUGAAAAUCAUAAAAGCAGCAAAGAAUGGCAUUUCCAUCAUUUCUAAUACAAAGUAAGCUACCCAAAUAUACAUAUAAAGUUUGAAUAAAUACUAUCAGAUAUAA